rnacentral:pre_miRNA from 18 species
CCUCAAAAUGGAGAAGAAGGAAACUAGACAAUCUUACAUAGCUCAAAAUAAUCUGUAAGCUCGUCUUAGUUUUCCUCUCCUCUCUAGGGAAU